rnacentral:rRNA from 1 species
AGAGUUUGAUCCUUGCUCAGGAUGAACGCUAGCGGCAGGCUUAACACAUGCAAGUCGGGCGGCAGCGGGGUGGGAGCUUGCUCCCACUGCCGGCGAGCGGCGCACGGGUGAGUAACACGUAUGCAACCUGCCCCUGUCAGGGGGACAACCCGCCGAAAGGCGGGCUAAACCCGCGUAUAUCGCCCCGGGGCAUCCCGGGGCGAGGAAAGGAGCGAUCCGGACAGGGAUGGGCAUGCGGCGCAUUAGCUGGUCGGCGGGGUAACGGCCCACCGAGGCGACGAUGCGUAGGGGUUCUGAGAGGAAGGCCCCCCACACUGGUACUGAGACACGGACCAGACUCCUACGGGAGGCAGCAGUGAGGAAUAUUGGUCAAUGGGCGGGAGCCUGAACCAGCCAAGCCGCGUGAGGGAAGAAGGUACAGCGUAUCGUAAACCUCUUUUGUCAGGGAACAAAGGCGGGGACUAGUCCCCGGAUGAGGGUACCUGAAGAAAAAGCAUCGGCUAACUCCGUGCCAGCAGCCGCGGUAAUACGGAGGAUGCGAGCGUUAUCCGGAUUUAUUGGGUUUAAAGGGUGCGCAGGCGGCCUGUUAAGUCAGCGGUAAAAGCCCGGGGCUCAACCCCGGCGAGCCGUUGAAACUGGCGGGCUGGAGUUGGAGAGAAGUACGCGGAAUGCGCGGUGUAGCGGUGAAAUGCUUAGAUAUCGCGCAGAACCCCGAUUGCGAAGGCAGCGUACCGGCUCCACACUGACGCUGAGGGACGAAAGCGUGGGUAUCGAACAGGAUUAGAUACCCUGGUAGUCCACGCAGUAAACGAUGAA